GAUGAACGCUGGCGGCGUGCCUAAUACAUGCAAGUCGAGCGAACAGACGAGGAGCUUGCUCCUCUGACGUUAGCGGCGGACGGGUGAGUAACACGUGGAUAACCUACCUAUAAGACUGGGAUAACUUCGGGAAACCGGAGCUAAUACCGGAUAAUAUAUUGAACCGCAUGGUUCGAUAGUGAAAGACGGUUUUGCUGUCACUUAUAGAUGGAUCCGCGCCGCAUUAGCUAGUUGGUAAGGUAACGGCUUACCAAGGCAACGAUGCGUAGCCGACCUGAGAGGGUGAUCGGUCACACUGGAACUGAGACACGGUCCAGACUCCUACGGGAGGCAGCAGUAGGGAAUCUUCCGCAAUGGGCGAAAGCCUGACGGAGCAACGCCGCGUGAGUGAUGAAGGUCUUCGGAUCGUAAAACUCUGUUAUUAGGGAAGAACAAAUGUGUAAGUAACUAUGCACGUCUUGACGGUACCUAAUCAGAAAGCCACGGCUAACUACGUG
rnacentral:rRNA from 1 species